UACAGAGGGGGCAAGCGUUGUCCGGAAUUACUGGGCGUACAGCGCGCGCAGGCGGACCACCACGUGCCGUGUGACAAGCCACUGCUCAACAGUGGAGGGCCAGGGUACACGAGUGGUCUGGAGGCAGGGAGAGGGAUGUGGAAUGCCCGGUGGAGCGGUGAAAUGCGUAGAGAUCGGGCGGAACACCAGCGGCGAAGGCGGCAUCCUGGUCCUGUUCUGACGCUGAGGCGCGAGAGCGUGGGGAGCAAACUGG
rnacentral:rRNA from 1 species